rnacentral:lncRNA from 1 species
UAUUUAAAGACUAAACAACAUGAUAGCUUGGAUUUACUUCAGAGUAAGCCAGGCUGGGGCCAGGUGUAGGAGAGGACUUUCAGCCGUCUUUUUGCUGUCCUUUUCGUUGAUGACUUCAGCGUGUCCUGUGGUACCAGUGAAGCAAGGACAUUUUUCAGGACUCCCUUGCAGAGGCUGAGAGGGUGGAGCUAUAGAGAAUGCACUGCAGCGCUGACUCUGCCUCCCAGGCAUGCCACCAUAUGCAGUCAGUUGAAAUGAAACCCGCGUGUGUCAGACAUCACAGAGGCCUGUGUGAACUGAAGGCUCUUGUGAGAGUUGAUGAAAGAUGAAGAAAGUAACCUUUACUACCAGCAGCCACUGAAGUUGGAAGUGGGGUGCUACUGUGACAUAACCAAGGCAAAGCUGAGUGGUAUUACACGUAGGAGUUACAGGAGGACUCUGCAAAUGGAUUGGAAAGACUGCUGUAGGCUGAAAACGAAUGACAUUUGCGAAGAUGCUGAAGAGGCAAAUAGUAUGGUAGGUUGGAGACCUCAAAGGCUGAUGUGACCAGACCAAGAAGAAAGAAUAACCCUAGAGGGAAGUGAAGAAGUAAGAUAAGGCCACAUCACAGAGGGCCUUGUAGCAUUUUAAAAUUUUUAGAUUUAAUCUUCAAUGCGUUAUGAAAGCCAAGGGUCAAUAAGAAACUCUCUGUGAAAGUGAUAGUUUUACUUAAAAAUCAGUAAAGCAAUCACAGAUAUAUUUUUUGUUAAAAACAGAAAAUAUUUAAAACCUGGAACAUUGAAAGUUACAGUCAUCCUAUCUCUCUACAUCUAAGUUCCACAUCACAUCUUUCUUAAGUAAAAAGCUAUUCCCCUAAGUAGUCAUAACAUUAUUAUGACAGCUUACAAAAUUCUUAAAAAGUGAGAUAGUGUUUCAAAUUUUAAAAUAGUUAUAUGUGAAUACAUUUUCUCCAAAAAAGCUAUUCUUACAGAAAAGACAGCUGCAAAUAUAACAAAGAUUUAUUUAAAACCCUGUGUUUAAUAAGCAAUAGUUUGAUUUAACCCUAGCUUACUGGGACUCUGAGUUUCCACCCAAAUCAGGUAAUUUUAGGACUCUAAUGUUUUUUUUUUUUUUUUUUGGUACCUGGGUACCGGGGAUCAAAAUCGGUUCCUUCAGUUUGCAAAGCAGGCGGUGGAACCACUGAGCUAAAUCCCAAGCCCAGGACUCUAAUUCUUGCUGGAAUGUUUUACUCUAGAGAGAGGGGACUGAAAGUGACAUUUUUAGUGUCCAUUUUAACUCUGUCCCAUUGGGAAAGCUUAAGGAUUUGCCCUUGUUUCCAGUGGCAACAAAGGAGUCAAGUUGCCAUUUCUCUUGCUCAUCCAUUUUAAUAGACCACAGCAAGUAGCACUCCAUCAACCUGUUUUAUCUCUGUCAACCUUCCAGAGGUCUUCAGUUGGCAUGGUUAAUGUCCAGAUAUCCAUCUUACUGAUGUAAAAAGUGGCUAAACCUAGACAUAAUUUAGGGUCCUGGCCCUAGUCAUGAGACCCCAUUUAAAGCCAGCAUUGUAUCCAUAGGCCCAGUGGGAAUACUGCAUAUGAUAGUUUAAUACAGCUGCUGUCUUAGAGCAAUUUAUUUUCAGAUAUUUGUAUCGAUGCUUUCCCUUUCUACUCUCUGAAAUGCUGUGGUGACAUAUGUUUACAUGAGGCCUGAGAAAGUCCCAG